rnacentral:rRNA from 1 species
UACGUAGGGUGCAAGCGUUGUCCGGAAUUAUUGGGCGUAAAGAGCUCGUAGGCGGCCUGUUGCGUCUGCUGUGAAAUCCCAGGGCUUAACCCUGGGCCUGCAGUGGAUACGGGCAGGCUGGAGGCAGGCAGGGGAGAACGGAAUUCCCGGUGUAGCGGUGAAAUGCGUAGAUAUCGGGAGGAAUACCAGUGGCGAAGGCGGCCUUCUGGACGGAUACUGACGCUGAGGCGCGAAAGCGUGGGGAGCGAACAGG